GCAAGUCGAGCGAGCGGAACUAACAGAUUUACUUCGGUAAUGACGUUAGGAAAGCGAGCGGCGGAUGGGUGAGUAACACGUGGGGAACCUGCCCCAUAGUCUGGGAUACCACUUGGAAACAGGUGCUAAUACCGGAUAAGAAAGCAGAUCGCAUGAUCAGCUUUUAAAAGGCGGCGUAAGCUGUCGCUAUGGGAUGGCCCCGCGGUGCAUUAGCUAGUUGGUAAGGUAAAGGCUUACCAAGGCGAUGAUGCAUAGCCGAGUUGAGAGACUGAUCGGCCACAUUGGGACUGAGACACGGCCCAAACUCCUACGGGAGGCAGCAGUAGGGAAUCUUCCACAAUGGACGCAAGUCUGAUGGAGCAGCGCCGCGUGAGUGAAGAAGGUUUUCGGAUCGUAAAGCUCUGUUGUUGGUGAAGAAGGAUAGAGGUAGUAACUGGCCUUUAUUUGACGGUAAUCAACCAGAAAGUCACGGCUAACUACGUGCCAGCAGCCGCGGUAAUACGUAGGUGGCAAGCGUUGUCCGGAUUUAUUGGGCGUAAAGCGAGCGCAGGCGGAAGAAUAAGUCUGAUGUGAAAGCCCUCGGCUUAACCGAGGAACUGCAUCGGAAACUGUUUUUCUUGAGUGUAGAAGAGGAGAGUGGAACUCCAUGUGUAGCGGUGGAAUGCGUAGAUAUAUGGAAGAACACCAGUGGCGAAGGCG
rnacentral:rRNA from 1 species